AGCGAGCGAACGCCGCGCCCACAGCAAGUCCCGCCCCGCGCCGCGAGCACUUCCCGGAACUCUCGGAAGCUCGAGGUGGGGGGCCCGCAGGGGGCCUGCCAGGGGCAGGAGUCCGCGAAGAGGAGACCCCGGGAGCCACUGGGCUGAGCCUGAGAGCCUCGGGGCGGUGCACCUACGCUCGGACCGGCGCGCUUCCCUGGAGCUGUCCGAGGUGCUGGAUAGCAACUGGCUGUGGGACCUCGGAGAACCGGGCGGUGAGGCCGAGACAGCCUGGGAGGGAAAGGGCAAGGAGGCCCAGCGCGUAAGGCCCUGAGCGCGGUAGGAGAGACUCUGGAAAGCAAGCAAGGGACACCACCCAACUCAUGACUCAGAAGACUCUGGUGGAGGGGGUGGGAGGCGGAGGCGAAUUCUGGGUUGUUGGGGUGGCCCAGGGGAGGAAUGGCGCAUGCUGGCUUGGUCUGAGGUGAGAACGUUACUGUCCGCUGCUGAGGCAUGUCCACGAUCCCUGCGACCAGUUGAAGGAACCCAGCACUUAGGAAAGAACUGCAGGGGCGAGGAGACGGCCCCUAGCGUGACCACCACCUUCAAAUCCUGAGGGCUCUUCCUCCACUGAGUACAGCCAGGCUAUGACAGGCCCAGAGGGCAGGACUGGGAGGGCUGGUGCUGGAGGGCAGACCCCGGCCUCAGCUAGGCAGUCCAGAAGUGCCGGACCCCCUUCCAGAUGGUGUCUGAGUACGGCUGGGACCGUCGCCCAUGCAGAAACACCUGCUUUGAGGGGCUGGCAAGCUCUGACCCCAGCCUUGGAGAUGCUCCUUUCUCGGGAGUCUGGGUCCAGCCGAACCCCUCGUCCAGUUCAGACUUAUGAAGAUACCGAGGUAGCCCCAUAUGGAAUGAUGCAUUGCAACCGACAAAGACAAGCACGUGGACAAUAACGGUAUUAAAAAUGUGGGCAGAGGAACUUGUGGUUCUGUCUGCUCAUCCCAGCAUCCUGACACAAGCCAUGGGUAUGACUUUGAAUCAGGCUGAAUGGCAAUCUCCGAGCCUAUCUCCCUCGUUAGAGCCCCUAGCCCAGAGAUGGACAGCAAGUGGCCUAAGACCCCAACAGAACCCUUCUCUGGGAUGUUUCCCUUACCCUCUAGUGGGUAAAAUAGAAGCAAAUAGGUCUGGGGCUCCUUUGAGCUCUGGUCUGCAUCCCAGAGAGAAUGAGGCCUCAUUCUCUCAUCCCAGGAGGAAUGAGGCCAACUCUACGACAUCAAGUACGAUCUUAUCCUUGCUAAUGAUGUUUGAUUUUAUGUGUCAACUGGACUGAGCCACAGGGUGUCCAUAUAUAUGGUCAAACAUUAUUCUGGGCGAGAUGGCCAUCUGAGUCAGUAGACUGAGUAAAGUGCUUGGGCUCCUCACCCUCACGUGCAUGGGUCGCAGCCGGUCAGACUGCAUAGGACAAAAAGGCCAAGGAACAGUGAACUCCUGCCUGACUGCUGAACUGGGGUGUCAGUCUCAUUCUGCCUUUGGACUGAAACACUGCAUUUUCCUGGGUCCUGGGCCUGCCGGCUUGCAGACUGGAGCUAUACCAUCGAUGCUCCUGGGUCUCCAGCAGCCCCCUGCAGGUCUUGGGGUGUCAGCCUCCGUAACCUCACGAGCGGAUUCCUAACCUACCCGUCUCUUCAACUGCCUCUGCUUCUCUGGAGAGCCCUAAUAUCUUUUUUUCCUAAUUAGAAAAAUUUGGAGAGAUUAACUUGUCUAACCUUACAGUUAAGUGUAGAGUUGGGCUUUAAAUUCCAGUCGAUUUUCAUAGCCAUCAUGGUACACUGCUUCUAUUCGUGUAAAAAUAAAACCCCCCUGUAUCCAACUGAA